CCUAUAAAACCCCCACUAGCUCACUCAACUCCCAUCUCGCUCAAAGCAAAGCACACACCUGAUAAAAUCCUCUCUACCAAAUUGCAAGCAACUUCAUAUUCUACGCGAGGUUUCUGGUCGCGGAGAUCAACGUCCACCUACCGCGGCGGCGGCGCAACAAGGAUGACGUGCGGUAACUGCCGCGGGGAGCUGGACCUGGAUCGGAGGUGAUCGUGAAGAGCAUGGCGAGUGGGGCGGUUGAGGCUGCUGGCCCUGCUGGGGCUGUCGAAGCUGGAGGUGGAGGCCAUCCGGGUCGAGGGGGGAGUGCGCGUUCCCGGAGCUGCGGCUCCUUGAGACGAGGGGGUGCCCUCGGCUGAAGAGGAUUCAGAUGCGCCCGGCGCGCGGGCAGCAGGGUACCGUGCGGAUCGAGUGCGACAAGCACUGGUGGAACGCGCUACAGUGGGCGGGCGAGGAUCGUCCCCGUGCUCUGAGUCUCUGACUCACUUCACUUGCAGUAGGAGGACGGAGCUGCAAUUUUUGGGGACAGCUGAUAUUCGACGACCACUGGAGCUGCAAUUUAUUGUGAAAAUAGAAAUCCCUUGCCAAACUAGCCAUCAGUGAUGGGAAAACCUGCGUGCUGGAUGAGGAACUUUUUUAUUAGUGUCUCUUAUUGUAACUGGAUUUGGUUUCAAAUUAAUUCAUUUUAAAAUGCUCGUGUGAAGGCAUGAA